GCCCAUCCAGUAGGGCGGAUAUGACACUCGGGUUGUAACUGAGUGGACUCGGGUUCGAAUCCCGAAUAAGGCAGGCA